rnacentral:rRNA from 1 species
CGCUUACACAUGCAGUCGAGCGGUAACAGGGGGUGCUUGCACCCCGCUGACGAGCGGCGGACGGGUGAGUAAUGCAUAGGAAUCUGCCCAGUAGUGGGGGAUAGCCCGGGGAAACCCGGAUUAAUACCGCAUACGCCCUUUGGGAGAAAGCAGGGGAUCUUCGGACCUUGCGCUAUUGGAUGAGCCUAUGUCGGAUUAGCUAGUUGGUGGGGUAAAGGCCUACCAAGGCGACGAUCCGUAGCUGGUCUGAGAGGAUGAUCAGCCACAUCGGGACUGAGACACGGCCCGAACUCCUACGGGAGGCAGCAGUGGGGAAUAUUGGACAAUGGGGGCAACCCUGAUCCAGCCAUGCCGCGUGUGUGAAGAAGGCUUUCGGGUUGUAAAGCACUUUCAGUGAGGAGGAAAACCUUCUGGUUAAUACCCAUGAGGCUUGACGUUACUCACAGAAGAAGCACCGGCUAACUCCGUGCCAGCAGCCGCGGUAAUACGGAGGGUGCAAGCGUUAAUCGGAAUUACUGGGCGUAAAGCGCGCGUAGGUGGUUUGAUAAGCGAGAUGUGAAAGCCCCGGGCUUAACCUGGGAACGGCAUUUCGAACUGUCAGGCUAGAGUG